rnacentral:lncRNA from 1 species
UGCCCCAGGCAAGAGGACUCUGGGAAGACAUCCAGGAAGCAAGGAGUCUGUAGCCAGGUGCCUUCAGAAGCCCAAGGUCAUUGGCCCUGCCACUCUGGUUUGCCAACUCCUCAAGGACCACAUAGUGACUAAAGGCAAGUGAUGGUUCUGAGGAGACCAGGACUGUGGGGAGCUCCUGGGCUCAGUGGGGGGAGCUCCUGGGCUCAGUGGGGGGAGCUCCUGGCCUCGGGGACCCCACCCCCACCCCCAGACUGGAGAGAAGAAAAGGAAUUGGAGGAGAAGGAAUGGGAUAAGGGUGGGGGUUUUCUGAGACCCACAUUCUCUCUGACAUGCCCACUGAGCCUCCCCACAGGAAA